UACGUAGGGGGCAAGCGUUGUCCGGAAUCAUUGGGCGUAAAGAGCGUGUAGGCGGUCCGGUAAGUCGGCUGUGAAAGUCCAGGGCUCAACCCUGGGAUGCCGGUCGAUACUGCCGGACUAGAGUUCGGAAGAGGCGAGUGGAAUUCCCGGUGUAGCGGUGAAAUGCGUAGAGAUCGGGAAGAACAUCGGUGGCGAAGGCGCUCUACUGGACCACAACUGACACUCAGGGACGAAAGCUAGGGGAGCGAAUGGG
rnacentral:rRNA from 1 species